AUGAACGCUGGCGGCGUGCCUAAUACAUGCACGUCGAGCGAACAGACGAGGAGCUUGCUCCUCUGACGUUAGCGGCGGACGGGUGAGUAACACGUGGAUAACCUACCUAUAAGACUGGGAUAACUUCGGGAAACCGGAGCUAAUACCGGAUAAUAUAUUGAACCGCAUGGUUCAAUAGUGAAAGACGGUUUUGCUGUCACUUAUAGAUGGAUCCGCGCCGCAUUAGCUAGUUGGUAAGGUAACGGCUUACCAAGGCAACGAUGCGUAGCCGACCUGAGAGGGUGAUCGGCCACACUGGAACUGAGACACGGUCCAGACUCCUACGGGAGGCAGCAGUAGGGAAUCUUCCGCAAUGGGCGAAAGCCUGACGGAGCAACGCCGCGUGAAUGAUGAAGGUCUUCGGAUCGUAAAACUCUGUUAUUAGGGAAGAACAAAUGUGUAAGUAACUAUGCACGUCUUGACGGUACCUAAUCAGAAAGCCACGGCUAACUACGUG
rnacentral:rRNA from 1 species